CGCAGGCAGCCUACCGGGCAACCUGGAGCAGUGGGUCCGGCCUGUGUCACACUGCACUGGGCUCCUCCAGCCACCUUCACUGCUGCCUGGGCGGAAGUUCAACUAGUAAAUACUCGAGUACUCAAGUACUCAUGUCAGAAAGUGAUCUGUGACCCUGUCGUACCAAGAAGGCGUCUGUGGGGGAGAGUGUGAUCACCGCGCCUGCAGGAGCAAAGGUCACCGCCUCUGUCCAUGGUUCUGAAGCACCAUCAGACGGGGGCGUGGCAUGUGCUGACGGCAAGACACAGCUGGCAGUAAGCGGCCGGGAGCAGAGCGAGAGAGAGGAUACGGACAUGACUGAAAAGUCAUGUUCUCGGAGAGAAAUCGAUUAUUGAAGAAAACAUUAUCCUUAAAAACCUUGUUGAAUCUGCACGCUGGACUCUUGUGCCGUGUCUUCAG